rnacentral:rRNA from 1 species
UACGAAGGGUGCAAGCGUUACUCGGAAUUACUGGGCGUAAAGCGUGCGUAGGUGGUGAGUUAAGUCUGUCGUGAAAGCCCCGGGCUCAACCUGGGAAUGGCGAUGGAUACUGGCUCGCUAGAGUGCGGUAGAGGAGAGUGGAAUUCCCGGUGUAGCAGUGAAAUGCGUAGAGAUCGGGAGGAACAUCAGUUGCGAAGGCGACAUCCUGGACCGGUAUUGACGCUGAGACGCGAAAGCUAGGGGAGCAAACAGG